UACGGAGGGUGCAAGCGUUACUCGGAAUCACUGGGCGUAAAGAACGUGUAGGCGGUUUAAUAAGCUGGAUGUGAAAGCCUACGGCUCAACCGUAGAACAGCAUCCAGAACUGUUAGACUAGAGUGAGGGAGAGGUCAGUGGAAUUAGUGGUGUAGGGGUAAAAUCCGUAGAGAUCACUAGGAAUACCUAUUGCGAAGGCGACUGACUGGAACUUUACUGACGCUGAGACGUGAAAGCGUGGGGAGCAAACAGGAUUAGAUACCCUGGUAGUCCACGCCCUAAACGAUGUACACUAGUUGUUGCCAGGCUAGUCUUGGCAGUGAUGCAGUUAACACAUUAAGUGUACCGCCUGGGGAGUACGGUCGCAAGAUUAAAACUCAAAGGAAUAGACGGGGACCCGCACAAGUGGUGGAGCAUGUGGUUUAAUUCGAAGAUACGCGAAGAACCUUACCUGGGCUUGACAUCCCAAGAACUUUCCAGAGAUGGAAAGGUGCCAGUUUUACUGGAACUUGGAGACAGGUGCUGCACGGCUGUCGUCAGCUCGUGUCGUGAGAUGUUGGGUUAAGUCCCGCAACGAGCGCAACCCUCGUCCUUAGUUGCUAACAGUUUGGCUGAGCACUCUAAGGAGACUGCCUUCGUAAGGAGGAGGAAGGUGAGGACGACGUCAAGUCAUCAUGGCCCUUAUGUCCAGGGCGACACACGUGCUACAAUGGGUAGGACAAUGAGAGGCGAUACCGUGAGGUGGAGCAAAUCUAUAAACCUACUCUCAGUUCGGAUUGCAGUCUGCAACUCGACUGCAUGAAGCUGGAAUCACUAGUAAUCGCGGAUCAGCCAUGCCGCGGUGAAUACGUUCCCGGGUC
rnacentral:rRNA from 1 species